AGAGUUUGAUCAUGGCUCAGAUUGAACGCUGGCGGCACGCUUAACACAUGCAAGUCGAGCGGCAGCGCGAAUAGUAGCAAUACUAUUUGGCGGCGAGCGGCGGACGGGUGAGUAACACGUAGGAACCUGCCCAAGAGAGGGGGACAACCAAGGGAAACUUUGGCUAAUACCGCAUAAACUCUGGCGAGAAAAGUUGCUCUGCAAAGGGUGAUGCUUUUGGAGGGGCCUGCGUCCGAUUAGCUAGUUGGUAGGGUAAAAGCCUACCAAGGCGAAGAUCGGUAACUGGUCUGAGAGGACGACCAGUCACACUGGGACUGAGACACGGCCCAGACUCCUACGGGAGGCAGCAGUGGGGAAUCUUGGACAAUGGGGGCAACCCUGAUCCAGCGAUGCCGCGUGAGUGAAGAAGGCCUUCGGGUCGUAAAGCUCUUUAGGUUGGGAAGAAGGUUAUGAGAGGAAAUGCUCAUAAUUUGACUGUACCGACGAAAUAAGCACCGGCAAACUCUGUGCCAGCAGCCGCGGUAAUACAGAGGGUGCGAGCGUUAAUCGGAAUUACUGGGCGUAAAGGGCGCGUAGGCGGAGUGAUGAGUGUGAUGUGAAAGCCCUGGGCUUAACCUGGGAAGUGCAUCGCAAACGAUUGCUCUGGAGUACAAGAGAGGGUGGCGGAAUUUCCGGUGUAGCGGUGAAAUGCGUAGAGAUCGGAAGGAACGCCGAUGGCGAAGGCAGCCACCUGGCUUGAUACUGACGCUGAGGCGCGAAAGCGUGGGGAGCGAACAGGAUUAGAUACCCUAGUAGUCC
rnacentral:rRNA from 1 species